rnacentral:rRNA from 1 species
UACGUAGGGUGCAAGCGUUAAUCGGAAUUACUGGGCGUAAAGCGUGCGCAGGCGGUGAUGUAAGACAGAUGUGAAAUCCCCGGGCUCAACCUGGGAACUGCAUUUGUGACUGCAUCGCUGGAGUGCGGCAGAGGGGGAUGGAAUUCCGCGUGUAGCAGUGAAAUGCGUAGAUAUCGGAAGGAACACCAGUGGCGAAAGCGGCUUCCUGGUCCAGCACCGACGUUCAGGCACGAAAGCGUGGGGAGCAAACAGGG